rnacentral:lncRNA from 1 species
ACCGCCACGGUGACUUGCAAGCAACUCACUGCACUUAGGCACUGGACACCUGAAUUUCUAAUUCAGUGACGGAAGGCUGUUGGGUGUAGUCAAGUACUUGACUUGUCGAUGCGUGUGUCAAGAUGGGAUUGACCACUCCAGUUUAGGAGCUGUAUACAGUCGUGUUUCAAUUUAGCAAAAUCUUAGCCAGGAUAGUCUUUGUGAGGAGUCACAGGACUGUUAGAGUUGAGCACGAUUCGGAUGAUCUAAUCAGGGUGGACAGUUUAAUCCUAAGUCGUCCUAAACACAGAGGUCAAAAAGAUAAAUUAUACUGUAACC